rfam:Desulfobacterales bacterium S5133MH4 k99_1396650, whole genome shotgun sequence.
UUCGGAUACACAUUCCCUGGUGCCUUUAUAGGCUUAAUAGGGAAUCCCGUGGAAAUCGGGAGCGGUCCCGCCGCUGUAAUCCCGCCCUUUUCUCAAGAAGAAAAGGGAACCCUUUUGGCAGUCAUAUACCACUGUUCCGAUCAAUCGGGAUGGGAAGGUCGCUAAAAGGGCGGGGGAGCCAGAAGACCUGCCUUUUCAAACAGCCGGUU